GACGGGGGCCCGCACAAGCGGAGGAACAUGUGGUUUAAUUCGAUGAUACGCGAGGAACCUUACCCGGGCUUGAACUGCAGGUGAACGAUCCAGAGAUGGUGAGGUCCUUCGGGACACCUGUGGAGGUGCUGCAUGGUUGUCGUCAGCUCGUGCCGUGAGGUGUCGGCUUAAGUGCCAUAACGAGCGCAACCCUUUUCUCUAGUUGCCAUCAGGUUAAGCUGGGCACUCUGGAGACACUGCCACCGUAAGGUGUGAGGAAGGUGGGGAUGACGUCAAAUCAGCACGGCCCUUACGUCCGGGGCUACACACGUGUUACAAUGGGGAGUACAGCGAGUCGGUCGUAUGCAAAUGCGAUCCAAUCAUGAAAGCUCUCCUCAGUUCGGAUUGGGGUCUGCAACCCGACCCCAUGAAGCUGGAUUCGCUAGUAAUCGCGCAUCAGCCAUGGCGCGGUGAAUACGUUCCCGGGCCUUGUACACACCGCCCGUCAAGCCAUGAAAGCCGGGGGCGCCUGAAGUCCGUGACCGCGAGGGUCGGCCUAGGGUGAAACCGGUGAUUGGGGCUAAGUCGUAACAAGGUAGGUCGUACCGAAA
rnacentral:rRNA from 1 species